UACGUAGGGUGCAAGCGUUGUCCGGAAUUAUUGGGCGUAAAGAGCUCGUAGGCGGUUUGUUGCGUCGGCUGUGAAAACCUGAGGCUCAACCUCAGGCCUGCAGUCGAUACGAGCAGACUAGAGUGUUGCAGGGGAGACUGGAAUUCCUGGUGUAGCGGUGAAAUGCGCAGAUAUCAGGAGGAACACCGGUGGCGAAAGCGGCUCACUGGCCGGAAUCUGACACUGAGGUGCGAAAGCUAGGGUAGCAAACGGG
rnacentral:rRNA from 1 species